GGCUGCAGUUUACUGAUGCCAGCCCAGGCAGAAACAUCACCUGGCUGAGCUGCUGCAGGAACAUCAGAAGCUAAAUGGGGAACUUGCCACUGAGCCUGAAGAUCACCCCUGCUAAUUCCCACAACCCCAUUAUUUCUCCUUGAAAACAUACAUUUCAGCAAGAGCAGAGAGUGACAGAGCAGUCCUAGGAUGUGACCAUAACUAUGGAGCUUAUAUGUGUGGUGAACCCAGAACAGCCUGCAUAGCAACCUGUUUCUCUGAACAUCUUGGAUGAUUUUGGGGAGGAAGUUUUCUUUGAACCCACGGAUGCCCUUGCAAUGUGCUAUCCUGAGAAACCAGAACCUCAGCUCCAACGGAUGCCUCAAACAGCUAUAGGAGCCAUCCUGACCCAAGAAGAUGAAGGGAUUGAGAGACCGGUGGCAUAAGCAAGCCAUAAGCUACUCCCCACAGAGACACGGUGCCACACUACAGAAGAGUCACUGAACACUGAAAAACAAACGACGACAGGACAAGGAAUGCAAGGCAGACAGCCAGAUCAAAAUCUUAGAAUGCUCCAAGACAUCUUGAGGCGGGGGGUUGUGUCCCGGGGGAAGGAGCGCUGAAAAGAAGAAACACUUACCUCCUGCAGGGAAGAGCAAGCCAUGGCGAGGAGAACCACCGGCGCAGUUCAUCAGCUGCUUUUAUUGCCGGCUGGCAGUGGCACUGGCAGAUGACAUCAGAAAAAACCGCCACCUGGCAGAUUUAAAAGCUGGUGGCAGGGAAAUGGCAGCAGAGCCAACUGGGAUGCUGAGGGGCGAAGGCGCUCCCCAGCCAACGUUCCAGGAAAGCCUGCAGCCCCAGCAGGGUGAGAUGGAGAUCCCUUAAAAGGGGCUCACCCCACACUGGUGGGGCCUGCCACAUCGACCAGCAGGACAGCCAAGAAAGUGAGAGACAACAUUGGGGGACCAGAGACGGUCUAAGACGGUGGACCCAUGAGUGGGGCGGGCAGAAGCCUACACCCAGACCCUUUCGUUAUUUUUUUCUCUUCAUUUUUUUUUUUUUGUUCCUGACUUAUCCUAUCUUGGAGGGCACACAGAGAGUGCCCUUCCCCCCCCCCCCCGAAAGACUCUUCAUGGGUCUGAGGCCAUGGACAAAGAUUGAGGCCAGUUUGGGCAAGAGCCUCAGAGGAGGGGCAGGAGCAAAAGCGGAGAUAAGUGUACACCCUGCAAUCGUUGGGAGUAGCUGAGCCAAGGAGCGGGCCGAAGACCCAUCAUCCAGCAGCCCAAAAGGUUGGUGCUUGGUUGGGGUAUAGGGGAGGUGGAGCCCCAAUAAUGCUUCUGGUGAGGGAUACCAGGAGUAGCGAGAAACCCCAGGAGGAACCCCACUCCAGGAACAUAUAGAGUUGACCCACGGCAGGCAACUGUCAGGGCUCCCCUCAGGGUGGAGCAUUACCUGAUGCCUAAGUUCCAGGGACACACCCCUCAGAUGGGGCUGGGAGAACGCUGGAAGGCUGCCCAUGACCACCUAUUCGAAGUCCAAUGAGGGCACAUGUAUUACUGCUUUUCUAGAAAACUCUAGGUAUUACCUUUCAGUUUUCUUGCAUAAGAAUGGACUAUUAUCAAAGGAAAUACUUUCUUAAAAAGAAAAGAAAAGAAUGCAUGCGGAAUUCAAUAUGUUGUUUUACUGAGUGGUAUAUAAUGAAAAUCUUAUUACGAAUUUGUAGAAUUUGGCAUUUGGCCCACAAAACUGAAAGCAGAACUCAUAAAUCAAUAGAGUUAAGCAAAAUUAAAUCAGGGAGGACUUUCCUUGGAUGCUGGAUUUGUACCAGAUCUCUGAGAUGUUCAUUAUGUGUUCUGUGUAUAAUACCAUUAGGAAACAAAAAUAAUUAUCCCUGAAAACUGGACUUAAAUAAUGUUAAAUUUGUGAAUUAAACCAAUACAAGCAAGGAAAUUUAAAGUUAAGAUCAAUAUACUAUCCCCAUAUCAUUUUGUUCAAUAUCAGAAAGUGUAAGGUUAUCCACUUACUGAAAGCACAUCUAAAAACGUAGAUACUUGCUAAACAAAAAGGAGCUUAAGGCAACUUGAAAUGGGAAAGCUAGUUAUGGAAAUGGGUAGGGGAAUGGAAGCACCAAGAAAUCAGAUAAAAUCACUGGGUAUAGAGACAUACAGUAGUUGAAUCCUGCCACCUGGAUUGAUUCAUUCCACUUUUGACCACUGUAUUUUAAAUAACGAGUUCCAAAGGACUCUAUGAGCUCCAAGGUUCAUUAAACACUUCCUUCAGAAGAUGUCAAUUCUAAAAAAAAUAGGGAAACUGCCUUUCAGUUUCUUGUUAGAACUGCAGUGUCCAAAAAGAGCACCCAGGAGGCUUUCAGAUCAGGCCUUGUGUCUCUGUCCAGCUUUUUGUUACUGAUGUCUUUUUGAUAAUAUAUUGUAUUACAUGAUAAAUAAUAACACCAAAUUACAUAUUUUGCUGUGUUUCAAAUGAAGCUUUGCUAAUGUCAUAAACAGUGUUUGGUGAAUCGGAACAGUACCCCUCAAAUGAAAUAAAACC